rnacentral:rRNA from 1 species
UACGGAGGGUGCAAGCGUUGUCCGGAUUCAUUGGGUUUAAAGGGUGCGUAGGCGGCCCUCUAAGUCAGCGGUGAAAUCCCACGGCUCAACCGUGGAACUGCCGUUGAUACUGGGGGGCUUGAGUUCGUCCGAGGUCGCUGGAAUGCGUGGUGUAGCGGUGAAAUGCAUAGAUAUCACGCAGAACACCGAUUGCGAAGGCAGGUGGCUGGGACGCGACUGACGCUGAGGCACGAAAGUGUGGGGAGCAAACAGG